UACGUAGGGUGCGAGCGUUAAUCGGAAUUACUGGGCGUAAAGUGUGCGCAGGCGGCGCCGCAAGUCGAGUGUGAAAUCCCCGAGCUUAACUUGGGAAUUGCGCUCGAAACUACGACGCUGGAGUAUGGCAGAGGAAGGUGGAAUUCCACGUGUAGCGGUGAAAUGCGUAGAGAUGUGGAGGAACACCGAUGGCGAAGGCAGCUCUCUGGGACGGUACUGACGCUGAGACGCGAAAGCGUGGGGAGCGAACAGG
rnacentral:rRNA from 1 species